AUUGAACGCUGGCGGCAUGCCUUACACAUGCAAGUCGAACGGCAGCACGGGAGCAAUCCUGGUGGCGAGUGGCGAACGGGUGAGUAAUAUAUCGGAACGUGCCCAGUCGUGGGGGAUAACGCAGCGAAAGCUGUGCUUAUACCGCAUACGAUCUAAGGAUGAAAGCGGGGGAUCGCAAGACCUCGCGCGAUUGGCGCGGCCGAUAUCAGAUUAGCUAGUUGGUGGGGUAAAGGCCCACCAAGGCGAGGAUCUGUAGCUGGUCUGAGAGGACGACAAGAAACACGGGAACUGAGACAGGGUCCAGACUCCGACGGGAGGCAGCAGUGGGGAAUUUUGGACAAUGGGCGCAAGCCUGAUCCAGCAAUGCGGCGUGCAGGAUGAAGGCCUUCGGGUUGUAAACUGCUUUUGUACGGAGCGAAACGGCCCUUUCUAAUACAGGGGGCUAAUGACGGUACCGUAAGAAUAAGCACCGGCUAACUACGUGCCAGCAGCCGCCGUAACAC
rnacentral:rRNA from 1 species